rnacentral:rRNA from 1 species
GUUGGGCACUCUAGCGAGACUGCGGUAAUUAAACCGGAGGAAGGUGGGAUGACGUCAAUCAUCAUGCCCUUAUGACCUGGGCUACACACGUGCUACAAUGGUUGGUACAACGAGUUGCGAGUCGGUGACGGCGAGCUAAUCUCUUAAAGCCAAUCUCAGUUCGGAUUGUAGGCUGCAACGUCGCCUAACAUCGAAGUCGGAAUCGCUAGUAAUCGCGGAUCAGCACGCCGCGGUGAAUACGUUCCCGGGCCUU